rnacentral:rRNA from 1 species
GACGAACGCUGGCGGCGUGCUUAACACAUGCAAGUCGAACGGAAAGGCCCUGCUUUUGUGGGGUGCUCGAGUGGCGAACGGGUGAGUAGCACGUGAGUAACCUGCCCUUGACUUUGGGAUAACUUCAGGAAACUGGGGCUAAUACCGGAUAGGAGCUCCUGCUGCAUGGUGGGGGUUGGAAAGUUUCGGCGGUUGGGGAUGGACUCGCGGCUUAUCAGCUUGUUGGUGGGGUAGUGGCUUACCAAGGCUUUGACGGGUAGCCGGCCUGAGAGGGUGACCGGGGGAAGUGGGAAGGAGGUAGAGGGCGGCGGAGAGAGGGGGGAAGAGGGGGGGAGGGGUGGGGGAGGGGCGGGAGGCGGAUGCAGCAGGUCCGGGUGCGGGAUGAGGGGAGCGGGGUGGGAAAAAGAGUGCUCAGGUGAAGAAGGGCGAGGGACGGGAAUGGAUAAAGAAAGAGCGGCCAACUAAGGG